rnacentral:rRNA from 1 species
AUUGAACGCUGGCGGCGUGCCUAACACAUGCAAGUCGCACGCGAAAGGGGGCAACCCCGAGUAGAGUGGCGGACGGGUGAGUAACGCGUAGGAAUCUACCUCGUAGUGGGGGACAACCCGGCGAAAGCCAGGCCAAUACCGCAUACGAUCUAUGGAUGAAAGCAGGGGAUCGCAAGACCUUGCGCUAUGAGAUGAGCCUAGGUCGGAUUAGCUAGUUGGUGAGGUAAAGGCUCACCAAGGCGACGAUCCGUAGAUGGUCUGAGAGGAUGAUCAGCCACACUGGAACUGAGACACGGUCCAGACUCCUACGGGAGGCAGCAGUGGGGAAUAUUGGACAAUGGGCGAAAGCCUGAUCCAGCCAUGCCGCGUGUGUGAAGAAGGUCUUCGGAUUGUAAAGCACUUUAAGUCGGGAGGAAGGGCUGUAGGCUAAUACCUUGCAGUUUUGACGUUACCGACAGAAUAAGCACCGGCUAACUUCGUGCCAGCAGCCGCGGUAA